rnacentral:lncRNA from 10 species
AGGACACGCCACCAGAAGUUCCUGAGCAGCCGUCACUUGUGUUUGGAGCGUCCCCCUGCUGCUGCUGCUGCUGCUCUGAGACAGACUCUGGAGUUGUAUCGCAGAAAAUGAAGCAUGGCUCCUGGAGGCUGCGCGCACCCCGGGCGAGGAGCAUCUCUCACCCGGACAGCGGGGAUCCAACCGCACUCAGGGCUCGCUUUGUUAAUCUUCCAAAUCCUUCAGGCCAGAGCACAAUCCCUUGCAGAGGCCUGAAUCAGAGCACCAACAGGAAAUGAAGGGGAGAAGAGAGCCGCACUCAUUAACCUUUUCCUUUCAAUCAGGCCAGUACCAAACUUCUCGCCUGUAACUCUCAAAGCUCUCACCGAAUCAGGGUCUCGGAGAUGAGUAAAUGAAGGAGCUGAAAACAGUUGAGUGACUUGCCCGAGGUCACCCCCACCCUAAGUUUCUGGUCCCAACACCGCAAUCCCCUCCAUUUCAUCCUCUGUCUUCAGUAGAGGCUCCAGGAAGGAGAUAUUCAGCCUGCCCGACUCUUUUGUUUUGAAUAAAAAGUCACAUCUGCUUAGGCAUCACUGUGGUUGCACCUUCUUCCCCCAAUUAAUGACAGGGACACUUUCCUUUGUGAAAGUGAAACCCCAAGUUUCUCUCCAUGAUGGCAGAGGGAGAGUGAAUGCCCAGCAA